CUCAUUCAUUCCACUAAGUUAUGAUACUAUUGCCUCAUGAUUUUUUAUUCCUAAAACCACAUCAAAUCAUGAGCAUUGAGAUCCACGAUAUUGGUUUUACUGUCAACUGUGAGUUAACAAAGUCAUAAUACAAACAAUGUCAUAAUACAACUAUACAGAAAAUCACAAGAAACUGAACAAGACAUCAAUUGUGGUGCAAAAAAUGUCAAACUUUUUUUUAACAAAUAGCAUCAAAAUCUGAAAUAUUACGCUUGUUUAAAGCACAUAGAAACCAAAAGAUUUUCUAGCAUCUAAAAGCCAGACAUUAAACAGUGACAUAAUUAUCAUACAAUAGACAUCACAACAGUUAAUAAAAAAAACAACAACAACACAGCAAUUAUCCUUAAAUAAACACAAUAAAACACUAAAAAACACUGUAAAAAUAAAACCCUGUAUAAAUGAAGCACAUUUAAUGAUGUGAAAUCAGUAACUUAUCAGGUAUAAACAAUUACAGUCAUUGUGGUUUGGAAUACUAAGCAAGCUAUUUGAAAUAAAUUAGGCCAAUGAAUGUGUGGUAAAUACAAUUUGUAGACACUACAUUAAUUAAUAGCAUAAGCAGAAUUCACAUUUUUUCCCCUUUUUGUCAAAAAAAAAAUUAUUUUUUGUAUUUACAUAAUUUUAAGUCAAAGUGCUAGAAAUUAAUAUGUCUGAAAAGGAUGAAUUACUUGAUCUAGUAUAAAUAGUUUGCUAAGAAAUUGAACUUACUAUUUUCUUUUGAAUCUUGACAUAGAUUUCUACUAAAUAAAAACAUUUAAGAUUUCUGCUAACUGCAAACAUUUUAAAUUUUAACAUGUUUCUGGGUAUAAUUUUAAGAAAAGAUGAUUUAGUGGAUUUUGAAUAUUUGUAUAAUUUAAACUAUACCUUUCUAAAAAUAAAAGCUAAUAUUGAAGUAAAAUUAUGCCUAUAAAUCAAUUAGUGCACCAUAAUUUGCCAACAAUAGUAACAUGUAAAUAUUUUAUUGUUGUUCAGAAAAGAAAAGUAUGUAUAAAUAUUGAGAAUUAAAUUUCACAGAAUAUGAACAAUUUUUUUUUGAUGCGAUAGGCUAUAAUAUUUUAACAAAAAUUAAAUAUUAUUAUUCAAUAAAGAUUUUAAUUUUAUAAUUUUUCUAUAAACUAUUUAUCUAAACUGAACUUUUUUU